UUAGAAUUAAAAUGAACCAACUGAAGAAAAAAGAAUAAAUGAUCUGACAAAAUGUUGUCACUCCAAAGACUUUAUCUAUACUCUAAUAACUCCCAAUUUCUGUUCAGCCCAGACCUCAGCUCUGAGUCUUAUUGCCACCUGGCAACACACAUAAAUGCUACACAAUGCUAACCCAGCCCCUGGGUGGGGAGUGACUGCAACAUCAGUAGUUGCCAGGAAACCUAAGAAUGUCCUCCUAGCUACCCAGUUUGCUAUCCCUUAAUCCCACCCAUCGGUAUCAGUCUGCUUCUCCUGCCAUGAAGGUGCAACAGAUUGGGUGGUUUAAACAAGUAGUAUUUAUUUUCUCAUAGUCCUGACAUGAAGGUCUGCCUGAUUCCAGUGAGGACAGCCACCUUCUCUGUCCUGAUUGCCUGGACUUCUCUUCUCCAGAGUUAAAGACACAAAGCCCGAAAGGCCCCUCAGGUUCCUUGGAGCUACUGUGAAUGUAUGUUCUCUGAAUCAUAUCUGAGGUCCUUAUCUCAGGC
rnacentral:lncRNA from 1 species